rnacentral:tRNA from 1 species
GCCUCUAUAGCUCAGUUGGUUAGAGCGCGACAUUGGUAAUGUCGAGGUCUCGGGUUCAAGUCCCGAUAGAGGCU